AUUGAACGCUGGCGGCAUGCUUUACACAUGCAAGUCGAACGGGGUGAGGGGGCAACUCUUCAUUCAGUGGCGAACGGGUGAGUAAUGCAUCGGAACGUACCCCGGAGUGGGGGAUAACGCCGCGAAAGCGGCGCUAAUACCGCAUAUGCUCUGAGGAGGAAAGUGGGGGACCUGCGAGGGCCUCACGCUCUGGGAGCGGCCGAUGUCCGAUUAGCUAGUUGGUGGGGUAAUGGCCCACCUAGGCGACGAUCGGUAGCUGGUCUGAGAGGAUGAUCAGCCACACUGGGACUGAGACACGGCCCAGACUCCUACGGGAGGCAGCAGUGGGGAAUUUUGGACAAUGGGGGCAACCCUGAUUCAGCCAUGCCGCGUGCGGGAAGAAGGCCUUCGGGUUGUAAACCGCUUUUAGCCGGGAAGAAAAGGCAUCUCCUAAUACGGGGUGUUCUUGACGGUACCGGCGGAAUAAGCACCGGCUAACUACGUGCCAGCCGCCGCGGUAAGAC
rnacentral:rRNA from 1 species